UACGGAGGAGGCAAGCGUUAUCCGGAAUUAUUGGGCGUAAAGCGUCCGUAGGUGGCUAGUCAAGUCUGCGGUCAAAGACUGGGGCUUAACCCUGGAAAGGCCGUGGAAACUGACGAGCUAGAGUGCAGUAGGGGCAGAGGGAAUUUCCGGUGGAGCGGUGAAAUGCAUUGAGAUCGGAAAGAACACCAACGGCGAAAGCACUCUGCUGGGCCGACACUGACGCUGAGGUGCGAAAGCGUGGGGAGCAAACAGG
rnacentral:rRNA from 1 species